AAGUAUAAUAAUUUAUAUAAAAUAUUUACCUUGAAAGUAAAAAAAAGAAAAUCUACUUUAUACU
rnacentral:tRNA from 1 species